rnacentral:tRNA from 1 species
GGGCGUGUCGUCAAGUGGUAUGAUUCUCGUUCAAGACCCGAGAGGCCCUGGGUUCAAUUCCCAGCUCUCCCC